rnacentral:rRNA from 1 species
GACGAACGCUGGCGGCGCGCUUAACACAUGCAAGUCGAGCGAGAUCCAGGCCUUCGGGCCUGGGGACAGCGGCGAACGGGUGAGUAACACGUGGGUAAUCAACCCUCGACACUGGGAUAGCCCGGGGAAACCCGGAUUAAUACCGGAUGGCCCUUUGGAUCUUCGGAUCUGACGGGAAAGGUAGCUUCGGCCUCCGGUCGAGGACGAGCCCGCGGCGGAUUAGCUUGUUGGUGGGGUAACGGCUCACCAAGGCGACGAUCCGUAGCUGGUCUGAGAGGACGAUCAGCCACACUGGGACUGAGACACGGCCCAGAGUCCUACGGGAGGCAGCAGUGGGGAAUCUUGCGCUAAUGCGGGCAACCGUGACGCAGCGACGCCGCGUGAGGGAAGAAGGCCUUCGGGUUGUAAACCUCUUUCAGGAGGGACGAAGCCACUCGGGUGAAUAGCCCAGAGGGUGACGGUACCUCCAGAAGAAGCCCCGGCUAACUACGUGCCAGCCGCCGCGGUAACAC